AGUGAACGCUGGCGGUAGGCCUAACACAUGCAAGUCGAACGGCAGCACAGUAAGAGCUUGCUCUUACGGGUGGCGAGUGGCGGACGGGUGAGGAAUACAUCGGAAUCUACUUUUUCGUGGGGGAUAACGUAGGGAAACUUACGCUAAUACCGCAUACGACCUACGGGUGAAAGCAGGGGAUCUUCGGACCUUGCGCGAUUGAAUUAGCCGAUGUCGGAUUAGCUAGUUGGCGGGGUAAAGGCCCACCAAGGCGACGAUCCGUAGCUGGUCUGAGAGGAUGAUCGGCGACACUGGAGCUGAGACACGGUCCAGACUCCUGCGGGAGGCAGCAGUGGGGAAUAUUGGACAAUGGGCGCAAGCCUGAUCCAGCCAUACCGCGUGGGUGAAGAAGGCCUUCGGGUUGUAAAGCCCUUUUGUUGGGAAAGAAAAGCAGCAGGUUAAUACCCCGCGGUUCUGACGGUACCCAAAGAAUAAGCACCGGCUAACUUCGUG
rnacentral:rRNA from 1 species